GUAUGAAAGAUAUUUAACUGACCCUGUAUGUAUCAACUUGAGAAAUGGACUAAGGAAGAGACAGAUCAAUUGUUUGACUUGUGCGAAUGGUUUGAUCUCCGCUUCAUCAUUAUAGCUGAUAGGUUUCCAACGCCCUGUACUGUGGAGGAACUGAAGGAUCGUUAUUAUAGUGUGUCUCGUGCCAUUCUGUUUGCUAGGGCUCCAUCUCCUGGCGAAGUUGCAGGGCAUUCUCUUGCUAAUUAAG